CGCAGGUUUGUCGAAUCUAGACAUAACUUGUUUCAUGCUAAAAGGCUGAAUAAUGGGUUUGGGGGUUUUCUCUUCGUGAGAAAACAUUAAUCGUUUGAGUUCUAGAAGAUAUUUAUUUCUAGCCUCAUCAUCCUGGAUGUGUUCUAUAAUGUCAAACAGAAUUUCUUUAGGAUUUCCUGAAAUGACAUUAACAGUUUUUCUGGUGCAAGAGCAGAAUGUACCGGUACAAGCGCAUUCUUGGCCAGAUUGGGAUUGAUCCGUCUCAUAAGCGGCGUUGAUGUAUUCUUCAUCGCUGUAGUCAUCACUGGACAAGGCAUAGGAGUCAGAAGACUUAGAAGACUCAGGUGAAUCUUCCAUUAUAGAGAAUAAAUUUGUUCUGGUUUCUUCAGAGAGAUCUAAUUGGUUUAUAUUCU
rnacentral:lncRNA from 1 species